GUCACAGUGUCCUACCCUCAUCUGUUUCAUUCUAUUUUCAUUCUCAUUCUAUUAAUUGUCACUCUUUCUCUGGGUGUGUGUGUGUGUGUUGUGUGUUUCAUCUUUAUCUGUGUUUAAAUAUACAAAAAAACAUCUUAAUAAUUUCCAAAUACUAUUUUUAUCAAUAUGCGUAAAGACGCGCCAACCUCUUUAUGGAGGCACAGGGCCUACAAUAUGCCUGCAUCUCCUUCUCUAAAUGCAAGAGAUCUAAAUGAACCAUAGCAGAUCCACUCCGAUCACAAAAAAAAUAAAAAAUAAAAAAAGGUGUUUAAAAAAUCAAGCUCCAUUUGUGCGCCUGCAUGGGGCAUCCACAGGUUUGACAGCUGCAGGGGCUUCUCCUCUCCCCCAUUCAACACUGUAAUUUCAGAUAAUAUCCCGAGCGUUCACCCUUGUCAGCAAUUUGUUCAUGAAUAACCGAAUAAUUUCGUCUUUUUUGUUUCGUCUUUGCUACCUCAAAUCCAAAUAAAGAUGCCUUUCAGUAUUAAAAGUGGUAGAAAAUUACAGGUAAUUAUCUUUGACGGUAAAAACGCUGUAAUCAGCGGGCUACAUCAAAAAUUACCCUAAUUAUGUCUGCAUUUAUGAGAAUAGAAAAAAAAAACCUUCACUUGGAUAAAACCCAUAAAUUGUCCCAAAUAUCUCCUUCAUAUUGAACGAGACUGCAGCUGGGUGCUUUGUUCGGGAUCGAUCCUGUGGCGAAUGGUAUUCAGCGUUUCGCACAUCAAGACAGGGAGAGAGGGGGAAAAACAUUUUGUCAAUACUGUAAUGAUUGAGACAGAGUAGAUGGACAAGAUGCGGGUCUAUAUUAUAGGAAAAACUCGAUGACAGACGACCAACUAUGGGAGCCUGAUUUGAGAUGUUCUUCUGUUGUUGAUUGCUCAACAUUGAGAGAUAUUUCAAGGGCUCAGAGAGCUGACUGAGGAGAAGUCUUUUGAAAGAGCAAAGCCCGAUGACCAGGCGAAGGAAAUCAAGGCUCCCUAGUGUGUCGCCUUAGCAACGGGUGAAAAUUAGCAUUGACUUCCGAGCAAGCCUACAAAACUAGGCUUCAGGGUAUUUUUUACAUCUUGAAAAGUGACAAUCAAAGAAGAUCUAAAGACAUGCUUCCACUUCCAUUUAUAUUGAAAUCAGCUUCUUUCUUUUUUCCGCUACCCGAACAAAAAAGUCUUAAUGUAUGUAUUUUUGCUCAUUUUACUGUGUUGUGCUGUUUCCCCGCAAUGCCCCCUUGCUCAUGUUUGCCUCCUGCCGUGGCAAACAGAACACGUCUAUAAUAGUGAAUGCAUUUCAGUGCACUUCCCAACAUGAACUAGAGAUGACACUGGCUUCCUCAUUCGCAGGCAUGAAAUUCAGCUCUCAUGAUUGCCAACAGGCUUAAUGAUAGUCUCUCCUAGAGUCACAGAAGUUUCACACUGAUGCACUUUUCCUCUAUUUCUCUCUCUCUCUCUCUCUCUCUCUCUCUCUCUCUCCAUCACAUUGCAGGGAAUUCGGGCAUCCAUGCUGAAGCAAAACCAACUAAGCCCAUCAGGAGCCGUUCUUAAGAGAACUGAAGUGCAGAUUGUUUGUGCCGAUGCAUGAAGCUGCUUGGUGUAUCUCCUCAUCACAAGCAAGCUGCACUGCCAUGUAGGAACAAGCAGGAAUAUAUUAAAAGGUAAUGAGAGAUCAGUCAGAAGAGGGUCAUGCAGGGGCACUGUUUGGCAUCACCGUUGCUGGAGAGAGCUUUCAGAGUGACGGCCUUGUUGUCUCUGUUGAGGAGCCAGAAGGGGUGGAGUUCAACGACGUUUCUCAUGGCAACAGUUGCUAAGCCUUGUUGAUGUGGUUAUUUGUAAAUCAAAGCUGGCUGCCUGGGAUUGCGAAUGAUUGUAUAUAUGUGUGUUAUUUGACAUACUAUCGACAAUUUGAAUAAAUAUUUUUCAUUCAGA